UACGGGGGGGGCAAGCGUUGUUCGGAAUUACUGGGCGUAAAGGGCGCGUAGGCGGCUUUUCAAGUCGGGCGUGAAAUCUCCAGGCUUAACCUGGAAGGGUCGUUCGAUACUGUUAAGCUAGAGUGUGGAAGAGGCUACUGGAAUUCCGUGUGUAGCGGUGAAAUGCGUAGAUAUCGUAAGGAACGCCAGUGGCGAAAGCGAAUCUCUGGGCAGCAACUGACGCUGAGGCACGAAGGCCAGGGGAGCAAACGGG
rnacentral:rRNA from 1 species